GACGAACGCUGGCGGCGUGCCUAAUACAUGCAAGUAGAACGCACAGUUUAUACCGUAGCUUGAUACACCAUAGACUGUGAGUUGCGAACGGGUGAGUAACGCGUAGGUAACCUGCCUGGUAGCGGGGGAUAACUAUUGGAAACGAUAGCUAAUACCGCAUAAUAUUGAUUAUUGCAUGAUAAUUGAUUAAAAGAUGCUAUUGCAUCACUACCAGAUGGACCUGCUUUGUAUUAGCUAGUAGGUGAGGUAACGGCUCACCUAGGCGACGAUACAUAGCCGACCUGAGAGGGUGAUCGGCCACACUGGGAAUGAGACACGGCCCAGACUCCUACGGGAGGCAGCAGUAGGGAAUCUUCGGCAAUGGACGAAAGUCUGACCGAGCAACGCCGCGUGAGUGAAGAAGGUUUUCGGAUCGUAAAGCUCUGUUGUAAGAGAAGAACGGGUGUGAGAGUGGAAAGUUCACACUGUGACGGUAUCUUACCAGAAAGGGACGGCUAACUACGUG
rnacentral:rRNA from 1 species